AUGUUUUUUAUCUUAGAGGCAAGAAAGGCGAGGUUAGGGUUUGAGUUUAGGGAGAAGGGAGGGUACAUAAAUGUUGGCGUCGUCCUUUUCUUCACGGAGGAGCACCGACUGGAGGCGAUUAUAGGCGGUGUUAGUCUGAGAUUAAGGUGCGAGAGAGAUGAGGGAGGACAAUGGAAUUGGGCAAGUAUCCUCACUUUGUUGGACCAUGGAUUAUUGCUCUGUCAUAAAGCCCAAUAG